rnacentral:rRNA from 1 species
GACGAACGCUGGCGGCGUGCUUAACACAUGCAAGUCGAACGGUAAGGCCCUUCGGGGGUACACGAGUGGCGAACGGGUGAGUAACACGUGGGUGAUCUGCCCUGCACUUCGGGAUAAGCCUGGGAAACUGGGUCUAAUACCGGAUAGGACCCUGGGAUGCAUGUCCUGGGGUGGAAAGCUUUUGCGGUGUGGGAUGGGCCCGCGGCCUAUCAGCUUGUUGGUGGGGUGAUGGCCUACCAAGGCGACGACGGGUAGCCGGCCUGAGAGGGUGACCGGCCACACUGGGACUGAGAUACUGCCCAGACUCCUACGGGAGGCAGCAGUGGGGAAUAUUGCACAAUGGGAGCAAGCCUGAUGCAGCGACGCCGCGUGAGGGAUGACGGCCUUCGGGUUGUAAACCUCUUUCAGCACCGACGAAGCGCAAGUGACGGUAGGUGCAGAAGAAGGACCGGCCAACUACGUGCCAGCCGCCGCUGUAA